UGGGGAAUUUUGCACAAUGGGGGAAACCCUGAUGCAGCGACGCCGCGUGAUUUAGAAGGCCUUCGGGUUGUAAAAAUCUUUUGUAUGGGAAGAAAAUGACAGUACCAUACGAAUAAGGACCGGCUAAUUACGUGCCAGCAGCCGCGGUAAUACGUAAGGUCCGAGCGUUGUCCGGAAUCAUUGGGCGUAAAGGGUACGUAGGCGGAUAAGCAAGUUAGAAGUGAAAUCCUAUAGCUCAACUAUAGUAAGCUUUUAAAACUGCUCAUCUUGAGGUAUGGAAGGGAAAGUGGAAUUCCUAGUGUAGCGGUGAAAUGCGCAGAUAUUAGGAGGAAUACCGGUGGCGAAGGCGACUUUCUGGCCAUAUACUGACGCUGAGGUACGAAAGCGUGGGUAGCAAACAG
rnacentral:rRNA from 1 species